rnacentral:rRNA from 1 species
CGACGUCCCCGCUGUCCCCGCCCGGGGCCCGGCGAACCCACAUAACUUGGACGAACAGUCCAGGGUCUCCCAGCGGGGCGAGAAGUCCCCGUGGAGUUUUACUGCAGUCUGUCGCUGGGGUGCGGUUGUGGGUACAGAGCGUAGGUGGGAGCCGUCGAAGCCAGCUUCUCCGGGAGCUGGUGGAGGCAACAAUGGAACACCACCUACCUAUGGCUGUAUCCCUAACCAAGCGAAAGCUUGGGACAACGGCAGGUGGGCAGUUUGGCUGGGGCGGCACCCCCUUGAAAAGAUAUCAAGGGGGCCCUAAGCUCAGCUCAUCCGGGACAGAAACCCGGAGUAGAGGGCAAGGCCAAAAGCUGGGCUGACUGGAUCCUCCAUAGCAAGGGAUCCAGAGGCGAAAGCCGGGCCUAGCGAUCAUUCAUGUCCCCAUUGUUGGGGGCUGGAUGUGACAGAAAAAUUACCCCGGGAGUAAUUGGCUCGUCUCCCCCGAGAGUCCCCAUCGACGGGGAGGAUUGGUACUCCGCCGUCGUCCGUUCCCAUCCUGGGUCUGCAGCAGGACCCAAGGGUGCGGCUGUUCGCCGAUUAAAGGGGAAUCCGAGAUGGGUUUAGUCCGUCGCGAGACAGGACGGAUUCUACCUGCUGGGAGUGCUGGCCGCCUGAGGGGAAGGCGCCCCUAGUACGAGAGGAACGGGGCGUCGCAGCCUCUAGUUUACCGGUUGUCCGACAGGGCACUGCCGGGCAGCCACGCUGUUGGGGAUAAGAGCUGAAAGCAUCUAAGCUCGAAACCCCUCCCGAAAAUAGGCGGCCGUUCCAGCUUUAAUCUAGACCUGGCAACAGGCCUAGAAAGCUGGAGGAGGGCACCCAUAGAAGAUGGGGUUGAUGGAGCAGGGGUGUACGCGCCAAGGCUUCGGCCGAGGCGUUUAGCCCGCUGCCCCCAAUAGCCCGACACGCCAAGCUG